rnacentral:ncRNA from 2 species
GCAUUCGCCUGGGGGUGCUUCUGGAAGAAGCUGAGAAAAAGGCUGCAGCCUUUUACCCUUAUGACCUGAUCUGGGUAAUACCAGCGGAGGGAAGGUAGAAUCAACUGGG